rnacentral:rRNA from 1 species
UACGUAGGUGGCGAGCGUUGUCCGGAUUUACUGGGCGUAAAGGGCUUGUAGGCGGUCCGUUAAGUCCGAUGUGAAAUCCCCCGGCUCAACUGGGAGAGGUCAUUGGAUACUGGCGGACUAGAGGGGGGUAGAGGAAAGCAGAAUUCCUGGUGUAGCGGUGAAAUGCGUAGAUAUCGUAAGGAAGACCAGUGGCGAAGGCGGGUCUCUGGACAGUUCCUGACGCUGAGGCACGAAGGCCAGGGGAGCAAACGGG